UCUCCUCAGACUCACGUUGUUUUGAAAUCAGCACUUGUUUGAUUCAAAGGAAAUAUGGAGCUUGUCUCUGAUUGGCUAGGUAAGAAACCUGAGACUCUCUCUGGGAGGACAGAAGGACUAGAGAAGGGGCAGUUUUGACUGAGAAACUUUGCUGCAUUUCAGACCCCAGACCUGCAUCUUCUUUGAGCCCAAGAAGGAGGAAGAAUGAAGAAACUUCUUGUAGUGUCUUUGGUUAUUCUAUGGCUUCAAAUGACCAGGGUGAACAGCCAAGUAGAACAGGAUCCUGAAGCUCUGCACAUCCAGGAGGGUGAAAACGUCACCAUGAACUGCAGCUAUAAAACUUCUAUAGACAACUUACAGUGGUAUAGACAAGAUUCAGGUAGAGGCCUUGUCCUGCAAAUUUUAAUACGCUCAAAUGAGAAAGAGAAACCUAAUGGAAGACUAAGAGCCACGCUAGAUACCUCCACCAAGAGCAGUUUCCUGUUCAUCACCGCUUCCCAGGCUGCAGACACUGCUACUUACUUCUGUGCUCUGUAUACACAGUGUUUACCAGGCACCUGCAGCCUUUACACAAACCUGCCUGAGCUGCUGCUCAGACCCCCUAAUACCGGGUAG